UGGGGAAUAUUGCACAAUGGACGGAACUCUGAUGCAGCGACGCCGCGUGAGUGAUGAAGGAAUUCGUUUCGUAAAACUCUGUUCUAUGGGAAGAAAAGGACUGUACCAUAGGAGAAAGCUCCGGCUAAAUACGUGCCAGCAGCCGCGGUAAUACGUAUGGAGCGAGCGUUGUCCGGAAUUAUUGGGCGUAAAGGGUGCGCAGGCGGCUGUACAAGUUGGAUGUGAAAUAUUGUGGCUCAACCACAAACGUGCAUCCAAAACUGCAAAGCUUGAGUUAAGGAGAGGUAAGUUGAAUUCCUGGUGUAGCGGUGGAAUGCGUAGAUAUCAGGAGGAAUACCGGUGGCGAAGGCGACUUACUGGACUUAAACUGACGCUCAGGCACGAAAGCGUGGGGAGCAAACAGG
rnacentral:rRNA from 1 species